UCGAGGAUCUUCGGCAAUGGGCGCAAGCCUGACCGAGCGACGCCGCGUGUGCGAUGAAGGCCUUCGGGUUGUAAAGCACUGUCGAGGGGAAGAAAGCCGCAAGGUUGAUCGACCCCUGGAGGAAGCACGGGCUAAGUUCGUGCCAGCAGCCGCGGUAAGACGAACCGUGCGAACGUUGUUCGGAUUCACUGGGCAUAAAGGGCGCGUAGGCGGGCCGUCACGUCCGGAGUGAAAGCCUCCCGCUUAACGGGAGAAGGGCUUUGGAUACGGACGGUCUAGAGGAGGGUAGGGGCAUGUGGAACUUCCGGUGGAGCGGUGAAAUGCGUAGAUAUCGGAAGGAACGCCGGUGGCGAAAGCGACGUGCUGGACCCUUUCUGACGCUGAGGCGCGAAAGCCAGGGGAGCAAACGGGAUUAGAUACCCCCGUAGUCC
rnacentral:rRNA from 1 species